rnacentral:rRNA from 1 species
UACGUAGGGGGCUAGCGUUGUCCGGAAUCAUUGGGCGUAAAGAGCGUGUAGGCGGCCCGGUAAGUCCGCUGUGAAAGUCGGGGGCUCAACCCUCGAAUGCCGGUGGAUACUGUCGAACUAGAGUACGGAAGAGGCGAGUGGAAUUCCCGGUGUAGCGGUGAAAUGCGCAGAUAUCGGGAGGAACACCUGAGGCGAAGGCGGGACUACUGGGCUGAUACUGACGCUGAGGCGCGAAAGCUAGGGGAGCAAACGGG